GAGAGAGAAAGGAGUGGAAGAGAGGUGCUUUCAGAUCUCGUUGUCGAAACACCCAAAACAAUUCCCAGUGUUUUUACAUGACUGUUUUUCUCCUCCUUAAUUAUUUAUUCAUUUUUUAUGUACUUAUUUUUUUGAAAUUCCAAUAACAGCACGAGCUUUCAGUCGGGCUUACCCUGCACCAUUCAUGCUUUCCGUCCCUGUCUGAAAGUAAUUCACACACACGCAGACCAACGCACGCGUACGCAUAGACAGUAAGAAAAAAAAAAGUCUUUGCCGUGAGGUGAAUCGUGUGGCGCGCCUCCCCGAAUGCGUGAAGUCCCCCUGAUUUGGCGGGCUAUUUCUAUAAUCAGGCGCACAUUUGUAACUCUGUGCUCUUCCUCUCCUGUCCGGCUACCACCGCCACCUUUACAUUUCCAAACCCCUCACCCCUCCCCGAGACCAUCCAUCCAAACCCACCGUUCUUUUGAGCAGGGUCCUUGAAUCCUGAAUGGAAACACCAAAUAUUUUACCCUCCGACAACAACAGGGAGAGGACGCGCAACGGACUGACUUUCUCCAUCCUGGCGAAGGAGGAGAGACUGUAGACUGCCCUGUCCCCCUUUCUGCUCAAAUCAUGUAUUCAAACAGAGUUUAUAAAGACACAGAAAGCAAGAAAUAUUGCAGUGUCGAACAAGGACGUGACUGCAAACUGAGGAAUCUUACUGACAGAAAAGCGACGCUGGAAGAGGAAGAGGAGGAGAGGAGGGAGUGAUGUGAAGGAGCUGUUGCUGCAGCAGAGACCAGGCACACCGCAUGGGGAAACCCGGGAGCUGUCCAGCAGCAAUGGAGAGAACAAUGACAACAUGAGUGAAGAUGGAAACGGGGUGACUUGGGUGCUCAGGUGGACUUUACUGCUGCUGGAGCCUUCAGCUGGGCGCCGGUGAGAAAAGGUGACCUACGAUUUGGAUGUAUGCACCGAGGAUCGACUGAAAGAGCGACCGACCGAUCGACCUUCCUUCCUCCCCCUUUCCUCUGUCCUCCCUCACCUUCUCUCUCUCUCUUCUCCAUCUUGAGACAGGGGCCUGAGGUGAGGAUUGACAGAGGGGAAAUCCUGACUGACUGAAACCCAGCAGAUGAGUUCUUCUCUUCUUUCUUUUUUUACCUCCCACCCCUUCGCUUUCUGCUCUUCCAUUUCUCCACCCUGAAUGCCUGCUACUUUGUCUCUCUCGUCUUCUUCACGCCCGUGUCCUCCAUCUCCUCACCCUGUGCAGCUAAUUGUUCCUGAUCCAGCAUUGGCUUCUUGGAUUAAGGUGUAUCUUAUUAGCUCAACUUACAGUACCAUGGGAGGAUAGGCUAGCAAUUUUAAACCAGCAAAACAAAGCAAAGUACCUGGACUUGAUAGGUGAAGCUGUCAUCAAAGGGUGCCAUGCAAACAUUUUUCUCAUUGAAAUGGGCUGCUGAGGUCCUAUGCAACAUCUAUGCACUACUUUCUGCAAAAUCUCGCCUUGGAACUGAAGCACUUAAAUAAAGUCAUUUAGGGAAAUAGCCUAACUGCCUUUUGAAGAGUACAGGUUAAGGAGUGAAAUGCUAUGAACCUGAGAUACCUGCUGAUGAUGCAAAAGGGUCCUCAGCAUACAGGAAGCUCCAACAAUCCUCCCCCCAAGUGACAUCAAGGAAAUCUUGCUACGCUCUAGCUCCACCAUAUUUUUGUAGCUACAAAGACGUCACCUUGUAGCAAUGCAUCGUCAAUGUUUAUCUCACUUGCAUUCUUGUGACCAUGGGGAAAGGCCCACUGGCAGUGGGGGAAGACCCACAGACAUCCGUGAAAAAACAGAAAACAGCUCAGAAAGGCAGCAGGCAAUAGUGUUAGAGUUAGCACUCUGCAUGAGUAAACUACAAGUACUAAAGAAAGAGAAUAAGGCUAGGCAGAUUAGGGGCUAUUACUCUGCCAGAAUGCACAGAUCAUGUAGCCAAAAACCCAGAAAGCGGCAUAAGAACUACAAAACUAAACUGGGCAAAAGAGGUAUGUGAGGUAAAAAGAGGUUGCUCCAGCUAUGGCAGAAUAUUUAAGCAUCAGACUUCACCAACUGCAGCAAUGCAAAGGACCAAGAGGGCCAUCUCUGAGUAUAUGAGCUAUGCUUGUCAGUCGGUGGAGGACCCGAGCCAGGAGGCACACCACAGUGCUCUGGCCCUCUGGCAACUCAUGUUGCUCAAACAAGGAAUGUGAAUGGAGAGAGUCUAGUGGUAACACCACUAAGAUCUAGACGAACUAUCCUCAGCUGAAAGGUUUAUACAAACCCUUACAAACACUCUGGAAAAAGAGGAAAGAGCUCAACCUCUGGACACUUGCUGAGGGCUGCUUUGUACCUAAAGGGCAGAUGUCAGUUGGGAUUGAAGAGUUUCAAGAGAAUUCACUACUGGAUGGUGAGGGAAAAAUAUUCUGGUCCACUGUUGUUAAAAGACUGACAUCUUAUUUGUUCAAUAAUGAAUACAUUGAUCUUAGUGCCCAGAAAGCAGGAGUUAGGGUAUUCUAGUUGUCUGGAGCAUACAUCAGUGAUUCUCUAGAUUAAUAAGGAAGCAAAGAGUAACAACACCAAACUCUCUAAUGUAUGGCUGGAUCCAGUGAAAACAUUACCUGAAUGUACCCCACCAGCUGGUUCAACCUGCAUUAGAGAACUAUCUAAUACCACCAGAGAUAGUGCAGCUUGUAAUGUUACACAUGAAUAGAUUGAAGAUGAGGUUCGCUGUGGAAAACUUUACCUUUAAGUGACAUAGGCUGGAGAAGGGCAUCAUAGCAGGAUGUACAGUUUCUGUUGUCCUGUUUGCAAUGACUCUACUGCUAGAGGCAGGCGGAUGAGGUAUAGAGUUUCUAAAUCAGAGGACAGCACAAGACAUCCUGCCUGCCAAGUGUUCUUAGACAAUCUAACUGUGAUGACUUCAUCAUUCCAGGGCAACACAGUGGAUCCUGAGUGCACUGGAGAAGAUGGCAACAUGGACAUGGGUGGAAUUUAAACUGGAGAAAUCCAGAAGCAUCCUUAAAGGAAAAUGGGCAAGAAACACUUUCAGUAACCUUCAGAGAUUCUAACAACUCAAGAACAAGGGAUCCAAUGUCUUGGGAAGAAUUAUGAUAGCUCCCUGAAGGACACCGGCAAUCCCAGGGAUGCCAAAUCUCAGUUAAGUACUUCGCUUAAAUCAAUUAACAAAAGCCUGCUGCUUGACAGUUCAAGGUUUGGUGCUUUCAGUAUGACAUCAUACCCAGACUACAAUGGCCAUUCCUACUGUAUGCCUUCCCCAUGCCACAAUUGGAAGCAAUGGAAAGGCUGUGCAGCAAAUUUCUGAGAAAAUGGUUGGGCAUUCUCACUCCCUUUAGCUUGGUAAAGCUGUAAACCACUUAAAAGCCAUUACCAGUUUCAUCACUGGUGGAAGAAUUCAAAGCCACCAAGGCAAGAGCAGUGGGUACACUCCUCCUAUCAAAAGAUGGGAAUGUCCAACAGGCCAACAAAUCCAUUGGAUGCAGCAGGAAGUGGAAGUCACAAGAAGCAGUAUUGGAGCCAGAAGCAUACUGGAAGCCCCAAGAGAUCAUCAGUGUGGUCUGUCAAGGUCGCUUGGGUGCAGAGGCAGCAGAAGAUGACUGCCGGGUGAAGGCGAUGGGGCUUGCAUCCCCAGGCUUUUGGAUGCAGUGGGACCAAGCACUUGCUGGACUAAUGUCCCGGAAAGAACUUCUUACUAUGCACCAUGGCUGAUCUACCAACCCCAAGCAAUUUAAAGAUCUGGGGGAGGGAGGAAGCUCAUCAUGCCUGCAAUGUGGCGCAGUACUGUGGACACUGAGCCACAUCUUGGGAGGAUGUCCAAAAGCACUGGGAGAGGGGACAUGACAAGGUUCCAACAGAAAUCACCAAAUAGGUGGGCUUCCAGAAAGCUAUAGCCAACAAGAACCAGGUACCUCCUUAUGUAGCCAUCUAUUUUUACCUUCAAGGCAACCAGGCUCCCAGGACAAAUACAACAGCCAUGAAGAGGGGGAUACCUGCUGAUGAUGCAGAAAGGUUCUCAACAUAGAGGAAACUCAAACUAUCCUCCCACCAAGGGACACCAAGGAAAUCUUCCAAUAUAACUCCACCAUAUUUUUGUAGCUCCUACAAUAUCAGCUUGUAGCAAUGCAUCUUUGAUUUUUAUCCAACUUAUGUUUCCCCAUAGACAUGGGGCAACAACAAGCCUUAGAAUUCAGAGUCUGUGGACCAGAUUGUGUUCUUAGAAGGAUGAAAUGUAUAUAUAGUAUGAAACCAACAGUACAGAAGUAGAAAAAAUCUGAAUAAAAAUGUUCUUGGUCUUCCUUUUUUUAAUCUAAAAAUAAUAAUUUUGCCAAACAAAUGAAAAUAUUAAGUUCUUUCUGGUUGUAUCCAACUAUUCAAAAACAGACAUUAAUCUAUAAAAAAUGUGAGAUGAGGUGCUGGUUCUGUGACUAUUCUUUAAUCUUCUUUUUUUCUCAGUGUUUUUUUUCUUCAAAACUUCCAAGAUUGCCCUGUAUUUGGCUCCAUCCAUCUUCCCAUCAACUCUGACCAGCUUCCCUGUCCCUGCUGAAGAGAAGCACCCCC